AUGGUCUCCCUCCCUCAAGCUCACUAUAUAAAGCAGCUCUGAAAUCCUUGACGCCGACCACUCCAAACAACACGACCGCACCUAGCAUCUGUUCAUUUUCUGCAUUUAUUUAUUUGUAAAAAUCUCCUUUUACGUUCCCCUCGUUCUUGUUUUCUCCCCCUGUUCUUAUUUCUUCGUUCUUCUUUUCCCAUCACGCUAGUCUCAGUAAAAACAAUCAUAUCAUUCUGCAAUGAUGUCUUUCCUGAAAGAAUUCACGGCUUACUAUCGUGAUCGACCGCCUUUUUCACGGUAGAUACAAUCGCUCUUCCUCUCGCGUAGUCGUUGGAUUUAGUUCAAGGGAAUUCAGCCUGGGUUUCGUGAGGAGAUGUUGGCCUAAGUCUGUUUUCUGUGGAGUGGGCAUUUUCAUUCCGCAAAGGUACAUCAAAACCAAUUUAAUACUGCAGAAUACGUCAACAUUUUGAUUGGGGCUUUGUGCAAAACAGUGUGAAUUUGUGUAAGACAUAUGUCAAGUAACGAAGGAUAUGUACGUUGGGAGUACGGAAUAUAUUCGAUGAAAGUUGAUCCAA